GAUGAAGAACGCAGCGAAAUGCGAUAAGUAAUGUGAAUUGCAGAAUUCAGUGAAUCAUCGAAUCUUUGAACGCACAUUGCGCCCUUUGGUAUUCCGAAGGGCAUGCCUGUUCGAGCGUCAUUUCACCACUCAAGCCUGGCUUGGUAUUGGGCGCCGCGGUCGAUCCGCGCGCCUCAAAGUCUCCGGCUGAGCUGUCCGUCUCUAAGCGUUGUGAUUUCAUUAAUCGCUUCGGAGUGCGGGCGGCCGCGGCCGUUAAAUCUUUCACAAGGUUGACCUCGGAUCGGGUAGGGAUACCCGCUGAACUUAAGCAUAUCAAUAAGCGGAGGA
rnacentral:misc_RNA from 1 species